GUGAAUAUGGCCUUUCCGUAGCAGACUUUUAACUGCAUUCCUAUAAUUCAAUUAGAUUCAGCCAUCUUUUGCUCAGUACUAACAUUCUGGACUUUCAUCUCAAAUAAUGGGGUACAGACCAGCAUGGAGAACAGGGGGUUAAAAAGAACCGGCCUUUCUAAUCUCAGACAGAGAAAACAAAAGCAUCUGCCUUUUGCCGGAGCAUAUUAUAUUAUUGGUCUCCAUCGAAGAUUGAAAGUGAAAGAAUUCAAUCUAAAACCCAAAGUAGCUGUUGCAUCAAGGCUGGAGAGUUGGUUUAAUUCUUCCUUGGACUAAGAAUUAAAUCCAGCCAAGAAUAUCAUGGUGUGAUCAGGAAUGCCAGCUCUCCUCACCCCACUGGAAUAACGUCGUCUGGGUUUAAUCCUCAACCAAUAAGGCCGAAUGCUUCGGGACAAAAAGUGGGGCAAGUCGGGAGACUUGGGUUUGAAAGCCUGUUUAGCUACUUGCUAGCUGGGUGACUUUGAACAAGUCAUAUACCUUCUCUGAGACUGUUUCAUUGAGAAAAAGAACAAAUUUAGGGCCAGAAGAUUCUGGUCCCCACUGUAUAACUUUAGACAAGUGACUUCUCUUAAUCUGAGUAUCAGUUUCCUCAUCUGUAAAAUGAGAGGAGAUUUUUGAGCAAGCGAUUUUUUGAGGUCCCUAUCAGCUUUAAAAGUCUUACAAUAUAAAGCCUAUUUGAUGGGGCUCAGUUUCUCCACCUUUACUACCACUAGUCCCUGUUCAUUUGGUUCUCUCUCCUAGUCACUCUAAAUGCACAUUGGUUACGAACAAUCGAUUCCAUUAAUAAAGAGUUAAGAAAAUUCAUUAGGAAGAAGGAAUUUUAUAGAUUUCGUUCAAGGAUUCUUCCUAUUUAUGUCACUGAGAAAGGAUAAAAAUCCUUUUAUCACUCUACAACUUGUUAAUGUUUUACCCCAGGACCACUUCAUCUGUAAUAAACAUCUUAACAAAAAAUGAAUCCCUAGGGAGGAACCGUUAAUUUCCUUAAGGCCUCACACAUGUAAGGGCUUUUAUUGUGUGCAGGUGCUCUCGAAAUUGCAUCCACUCGUAAUAACGUCCAGUAAAGAGCAGGUAGUGACUGAGAACAGGGAUGGGAUCGCUGCACCUGUCCACAGACAGACAAGUUAUGCUACGCCCCUGUGCAAUCUUCCACAGGUUUUCUUGGGCAGCUUUCCCCAGCUUCAUCUGACAUUGAAUUUUUCACCUUCCUCUUGGGGGUCUGCAGAAGGACUAAGCUCAUAGUAUCUUAUAGGUGUUUGCAGAAUUGAAUGGAAUAGUCUCUGGAAGGAGAUGUUGCCUGAUGAGACUGACUGUCUCAGAUGAGAAGAUGACUGAUGGAUGCCCAGACGGGCAGGGAAUCAAGCAGUGCCAGUGGGCUCAGCUGCCAGUUGCUCAAAUGGCUGACUUCUUAUUGCAACACCCCCUCUGCAAUUUUAGAGGAAUAUUGACAUUGUCACUAUUGCCAGUCCUGCAAUUUAUUAUUUACAUCCUCAUUCCAUCCAAAGUUUCCUGAUUGCUCUAGUAAUAAUGAAAAAAUUAGCUCUUCAAAGGUUUCCUCACAGCAAACCUAUGAAAAAGUAGGACAAGUAUUGUGAUCCCCAUUUUACACACAAGGAAACUGAGGUUCUGAGAGGAAAGUGACUUGUCAAGGAAAAUCCAGUUGGGAGGAGUCAGUGCUUCAAUUUCAGAUCCAGGUUUCUUACUUCAAGACCAGCGUGUGUCCCCAAAACUAUCCAGAUCCUCUGCCAUAUCCAGCAUUUCUUUUUAUAAUUGAAGGCUAUUUGGUCAUUCUUCCAUCAUAGCAGUGAAGUUCAUGGGGACAUUGGAUUAACCUCUACUCUGUCUUAAGAGGCUUGCAAGAUUUUGAACACUGGCCAGACAUGGUAGAUCUGAUGCUGCUGGUUCAAUUCCGUAGGUCUGGCUGCUAUUCUCUGUAUCCAUAUUUAAGGAAGAAAGUCUUUUAGCUUUGGUUCCCAAAUUCCAACUGGGACAUUCAGCUAAUCAACUUUAUCUGGCUGCCAAAAUUAAAUUAAAUUCAACACACUUUUAUUUUUUUUAAAGUGGUUUUAUUGUUGCCUUUGAUUUUUGCACUAAUUAUUUAUUUCCCUUUAACUCUUUUCUCUCCUUUCCCACCCCCCUUCCUCACAUAUAUUGAGCCUUUCUUGGUAACAAAACAAAACAUUUAAACAAAGCCAAAUGACAAAAUGACCUCAUCUGACCACAAAUACCACAUUUCUCAUUACUAGCCCCUACCUCUCUACUGACAGGAGGAAGGUAUGUUUCCUUAUUAGUUUUCCAGGGAAAAGAUCGUUCAUUACAGUUCAUCAAAGUUUAUUUACUUUUCAUUUAUCAUCUACAUUUUUGUAGGCAUCAAAUAUUGUUAUCUCGGUUUAACUUUCUUUACAUUACUUCACAAAAAUCUUCCCAUGUUUCUUUGAAUUCCUUUAUAUUCAUUACUUCUUAACAUGCAAUAAUAUUAUGCUUUUAUGCUACCGUUUGUUCAGUCUUUCUCCAACCAAUGGCACUUAUUUUUUUUCCAGUUUUGUUUUUGUUGGGUGAUUUCCCCCCCCUCCCCCAUUCCAAAAAAGUACAGAUAGGAAUAGGUUGUAAUACGUAAGACCUUUCUUUUCCUUUUCCUCUCAUUUUAAACUUUUAUAUUUUAUUGGCACUUUAAACAUUGUUUUCUUUUCCAAAUAUAUUCCUCUCCCUCCCCUAUCCAGAAAGCUCAUUCCUUGUAAAAAGAAAGAGAAAGAACAAAGUAAAAGAGAGAAGAGGGAGAGAUUAAUCACACACAAUUUUAUAGAUUAAUCAUGUAUACAAUGUUCCACAAGCAAAAUUCUGCAUAUACCUAUCCCAAAUUCCCCAUGACUGAAAGGAGCUACAUUUUCUCUUCUCUUGAAACUUUAUUUAUUUUAAGAAAAGCAUUCCCAUCAACAGUCCACAGUGUUCAAGGCACUAAACUCCAGUGAAGAUACAAGUCAUUGAGUGUAUCACUUGGCUUUAACUGUUUUUCUUUGUUAUAAAGAAAGAUUCAAUAUAUUUGUCUGGUAUAUAGUAAUUGAUUAAUAAACAGUUGUCAUUUGUCUGAAUAAGAAAAAUAGGGUAACCUUUCCAAAGACCUCUCUCAGCAUUUGGUCUGCAUCUAUUUAAUAGCUUCGGCAUGUAAUAUUGUGUAUUAUAAUUUUCUGUGUUUUUGUCUUUUUUUUUUUCCUUUUCCUUACCCA
rnacentral:lncRNA from 1 species